CAAAGGAAUUGACGGGGCCCGCACAAGCGGAGGAACAUGUGGUUUAAUUCGAUGAUACGCGAGGAACCUUACCUGGGCUUAAAUGUAGAGUGCAUUUUCUAGAGAUAGGAAUUCCCUUCGGGCUUUCUACAAGGUGCUGCAUGGUUGUCGUCAGCUCGUGCCGUGAGGUGUCGGGUUAAGUCCCAUAACGAGCGCAACCCUUAUCGUUAGUUGCCAUCUGGUAAAGCAGGGGACUCUAGCGAAACUGCCACCGUAAGGUGAGAGGAAGGUGGGGAUGACGUCAAAUCAGCACGGCCCUUAUGUCCAGGGCUACACACGUGUUACAAUGGUCGGUACAGAGGGCAGCUACCUGGUGACAGGAUGCUAAUCUCGAAAACCGGCCUCAGUUGGGAUCGGAGUCUGCAACUCGACUCCGUGAACGCGGAAUCGCUAGUAAUCGUGGAUCAGCCAUGCCACGGUGAAUACGUUCCCGGGCCUU
rnacentral:rRNA from 1 species